ACGAACGCUGGCGGCGUGCCUAAUCCAUGCAAGUCGAGCGGACUGAUUAAGAGCUUGCUCUUCUGACGUUAGCGGCGGACGGGUGAGUAACACGUGGGCAACCUGCCCUGUAGAUCGGGAUAACACCGAGAAAUCGGUGCUAAUACCGGGUAAUAUCUGAGAUCACCUGAUCUUAGGUUAAAAGAUGGCUCCGGCUAUCACUACAGGAUGGGCCCGCGGCGCAUUAGCUAGUUGGUAAGGUAAUGGCUUACCAAGGCGACGAUGCGUAGCCGACCUGAGAGGGUGAUCGGCCACACUGGGACUGAGACACGGCCCAGACUCCUACGGGAGGCAGCAGUAGGGAAUCUUCCGCAAUGGACGAAAGUCUGACGGAGCAACGCCGCGUGAGUGAUGAAGGGUUUCGGCUCGUAAAGCUCUGUUGUUAGGGAAGAAACAGUACCGAACGAACUAGGUCGGUACCUUGACGGUACCUAACCAGAAAGCCACGGCUAACUACGUG
rnacentral:rRNA from 1 species